rnacentral:RNase_P_RNA from 1 species
ACCGCAGACCGCCUUAUCGUCCUGAGCAAUCGGGGAGGAAAGUCCGGACACCAAAGAGUAGCAUAUUGGGUAAUACCCAACCGUUGAAAGGCGAGGACAAGUGCAACAGAAAGCAGGUACAGGUAAUGCUGUAGUGAAACCAGGUAAACUCUAUGCGGUGAAAUUCCAAGUAUAUCGGCAUUUAAGGGCGACUCGUCCGUUGUCGAAGGGUAGGAAGCUCGAGCCAAUGAGUAAUUGUUGGCCUAGAUAAAUGAUAAGGGUUCAUUUCGAUGAAUACAGAAUCCGGCUUAUAGGUCUGCUUUUUUU